UACGUAUGGGGCAAGCGUUAUCCGGAUUUACUGGGUGUAAAGGGAGCGCAGACGGUUAUGCAAGUCUGAAGUGAAACCCCACGGCUCAACUGUGGGCUUGCUUUGGAAACUGUAUAGCUAGAGUGUUGGAGAGGUAAGCGGAAUUCCUGGUGUAGCGGUGAAAUGCGUAGAUAUCAGGAAGAACAUCGGCGGCGAAGGCGGCUUACUGGACGAUAACUGACGUUGAGGCUCGAAGGCGUGGGGAGCAAAC
rnacentral:rRNA from 1 species